UACAGAGGGUGCAAGCGUUAAUCGGAAUUACUGGGCGUAAAGCGUGCGUAGACGGUUACAUAAGUCCGCUGUGAAAGCCCUGGGCUCAACCUGGGAAUUGCAGUGGAUACUGGCAAGCUAGAGUGCGGUAGAGGAUGGUGGAAUUCCCGGUGUGGCGGUGAAAUGCGUAGAGAUCGGGAGGAACACCCGUGGCGAAGGCGGCCAUCUGGACCAGCACUGACGCUGAGGCACGAAAGCGUGGGGAGCAAACAGG
rnacentral:rRNA from 1 species